GUUUCUUUCUUUUUUUGCAGAGAUGGACUAUGAUACUGUGCACACAAUGGCGCUUCUUGAAGCUCAACGUGAAUACAUGGACAUGAAUGAUGAAGAUGCUGAAUUUGAUAUAGAUGAAGAAAUGGCAGAAACAGAAACAGAAGCAGAAGCAGAAGUUCAGUGUGAACCACAAGCCACUGCAUCAACACAAGCAGCGAAACCUCAACGUAAGCGUCGAAAAACCUCACUUGUUUGGAAAGAUUUUGUACUAGUGGGGGUAGAAGAGGAUGGAAAAGAAAGCAAGUAAUUAUGGAGUGGAGUCUUCAGCAUCAAAAGAUUGAUAUGUUUGCUGGAACAAAGAUCCUGGUAGACGUUCAAGAAGGAAAAUAGUAACUUAUGGACACUUAGUGUGAAGUGUGAACUUUAUUUUUCAAUUAUGUUGUGACUGUGAUUUGUAAACUUUGAAUUUUUAGUUGAAGCAAAACAAUGUAAGGUUCUGGAUUCAUAUUUUAUUUGACAGGUAUUUAACAGGUUUCAUCGAAAAGAAAUGCUAUGAUAUAAAUAGAUCAUGUUCAUUUUUUUUUAA